GGGGAUUUAGCUCAGCGGCAUAAGCGCCUGCCUCAAAAGCAGUUGUGAGUCUAAUCCCUG
rnacentral:tRNA from 1 species